rnacentral:rRNA from 1 species
GACGAACGCUGGCGGCGUGCUUAACACAUGCAAGUCGAACGCUGAACCCGCUUCGGUGGGGGAUGAGUGGCGAACGGGUGAGUAACACGUGGGCAACCUGCCCCCGGCUCUGGGAUAACUCCAAGAAAUUGGGGCUAAUACCGGAUGUGACCGCUGGCCGCAUGGUCUGGUGGUGGAAAGGGUUUCCGGCUGGGGAUGGGCCCGCGGCCUAUCAGCUUGUUGGUGGGGUAGUGGCCUACCAAGGCGACGACGGGUAGCCGGCCUGAGAGGGUGACCGGCCACACUGGGACUGAGACACGGCCCAGACUCCCACGGGAGGCAGCAGUGGGGAAUAUUGCGCAAUGGGCGGAAGCCUGACGCAGCGACGCCGCGUGGGGGAUGACGGCCUUCGGGUUGUAAACCUCUUUCAGCAGGGACGAAGCGCAAGUGACGGUACCUGCAGAAGAAGCACCGGCCAACUACGUG